CCCAGCUCUCAGUCAGCUGACCAGGCGACCCGUGUCUGGAUCAGUGUUACGGAGCUGGUAGAGGAAGCCUCUGUGCUUUGUCUCCGCUGUGCAGGUUCUGUUUUAGAAUCUGUUCCUGCUGAGCUGCUGCAGAGGGCGGCCCAACAAGAGAGUGGCCCGUCCUGAUCCAACGGCAGGACGGGCCUAGUGCCGGGCUGCACACU
rnacentral:snoRNA from 1 species